GGCUUCGCAAGAAUUGCCCUAAUUGUGCAGAGAUGCUCGUCCGGCUGUCUGCCUCCCUGCCUGUGCACAGCAACUGAGACAGGAAGAGACAGUUAUACCAUGGGAUCAGCUCCUGCCUCCCCAUGACUGCUCCACCCCAUGCAUCUCCACGUGCUGUUCUGAGAAGGUACCAGGCAUUAGAGGCAGGGACAGAUCAGCAGACUGAGAUGGAUCUCGAUGUCCUUGGGAAGACAGCAGAGGCUGACGUCCUCCCCACCACACCGGGUUGAAGUGCAGUCCCCAUCACAUGCUGAGGGCAGAGCAGUGCUCAGAGGUGCCCCUUGGGUUUAGGACAAUUUCCUGAAGAUGCUCAGGCUGGCUUGGCCCAUGGAACUGACAAAUCCCAGGCCAGCUGAGGUACUCUGAGCAGCUCUGUCUGUACUUUUCCAUUGAUCCUUUGCCUAGAUAUAUAGUUCUGAUUUUGUCUGUGUCAUGGGAAGAUGUCAUCUUGAUCCCUCUACAAGGCUUUCAAAUAGUAACAUUUUGUUUGAAGGGAAAAGGAAAGAAAAAAGCAAGUGACAAAGAGCA
rnacentral:lncRNA from 1 species